rnacentral:antisense_RNA from 1 species
AGAGAGGCUUCCACGGUUCGCCGGUCGGGGGCCUUUUUCUUUUGC